AUGAAAUUAAGCAGUAGCCCACCUGGCGGAAGCCACCUCUAGGGGACGUGUCCCUGACUGAGCCUGGGGCUGCACGAGUCGCAUUCGCGUGAGCUUCUGGCUCCGUUCCUCUCAGAGAAGAGGGAAGCAGCGGCCGCGCGCAGCCCGCGGGCGGGAGCGUCCCGAGCGGUGGAGGCGCGUGCAGCUCGCGCCGGGGCAGGCGGCGUGCGGGGCUCGGCGGCGAGGGAGCAGCAGCGGCCGUGCAGACCGGGAGCCCCAGUUAGAAGUUCUGUGUGUGGGAGUGAGGUGCCCCAGUCUGAAGAUGCUCAACCACACUUCUAUGCAUGAGAUACUACUGAAAGAUGAAGUGGCUCUUUGAACAAACCAGUUUGUCUCCUCUGCAUUUGGACACAAUACAGCAGCCUACGGAAAGAUGAAAUGCUGUCUCACUGUGGUUGCUAUCUAAGGAAAAGAAGUGCAUCUAAUUCUAAAUGCAAGUGGACAGUUUGUUUUGACAGCAGUAAUAAUAUGUUGUAUUAAUGUAUAAUAACAAUAUGGUUUUAUUGAAAUUAGGAAUAAAAACAGUUCAUAAUAGUUCUGACA
rnacentral:lncRNA from 1 species